UACAUGGGGUGCAAACGUUGCUCGGAAUUAUUGGGCGUAAAGAGCUCGUAGGCGGUUCGUCGCGUCGGCUGUGAAAUCCCGAGGCUCAACCUCGGGUCUGCAGUCGAUACGGGCGGACUGGAGUUCGGCAGGGGAGACUGGAAUUCCUGGUGUAGCGGUGAAAUGCGCAGAUAUCAGGAGGAACACCGGUGGCGAAGGCGGGUCUCUGGGCCGAUACUGACGCUGAGGAGCGAAAGCGUGGGGAGCGAACAGG
rnacentral:rRNA from 1 species